AGGAAUGAGAUUACACGUCCAAACUGCUGUGUCUGAUUUCUCUCCUUUUCACAUCUGUUCCAGGCCCUUGCAUUUAUAAGGCUUGUUCACUGAACCUGGAGCUCUCCACCAAUGUUGCGCCUUCUGACAGGAGCUCCACAGACCCGCCUGUCUCCACACACCCCUGCACUGAGAUGACUGCUACAUACGUCCAUUUCUGAGGUUUUCUGUGGGUGAUGGAGAACUGACCGGGAUACUGAACUGUUCUAUGGGAUUGUGAAUUGCAGGCUAGUUUUCCUUUGCUUU